CUAGCCAUGCGAACAUUCACGCGAUGUAGGCACACCGGUACAGUAGCUUGCUUCACGUAAUGGAAUCAGGUACACUUUUGAUAAUCGGCACAAUGCUCGACUGCAUCUUCAUACCUAAUUAUCAUUGGUAAAAUUCACAUUUCUCGGAUAAUCGCUUCUAAUCGGAUAUUUCAUCCAACAAGAGAUCGCUCCCGUUUACUAAUAACACAAAACCUGCCAAUAUUUAUGGGAGGUAUAACACAUGAGUUAAAAAUGUCACAAUGGCCGUUUAAGAUUUGUAACGAGUUCACGAAACAUCGGAUAGGCCUGCCAUCCGCAAAAUAAAC
rnacentral:misc_RNA from 1 species